ACAGUACAGUACACUAUGCCCUCCUGAGUGAUUAGUUGCAGGGUACUGGAAUGAACAAUUCCAUUGAUUGUGAUGUCAUAAAGAUACGGUCUAUGUUGAAUUUCAUUGGCUGUACAGUAUGCUGCCAUUAUACUGUAUAUUGUUUACAUACUUUUUGCAGGGCUGGAAGCACGACGGCAGAGUAGGCGGGAAAGACGCAGCCGAGCUCUACUGCCGCCAACUGCUGAUGAGGAGGAGCCAGGCCCCAGCACAGCUGUACCUCCGCCACCUGUCCACCCGCACCCCCACAGGCUCAGGUUGAAGAGGCGUAGCCAGGCCCAAGCACAGCCGGACUACACAGCACCACUGAAAGGGACUUAUACAGCUACACUGGAUAUAUGGCAGCAGAGGACACCACCACUGUGACUGGUCGCUGGACUGAGGCUGCACAAGACACUUCCCCUGGUCUAAUGCAGGACAACACAGCACCACUGAAAGGGAAUUAUACAGCUACACUGGAUAUAUGGCAGCAGAGGACACCACCACUGUGACUGGUCACUGGACUGAUGCUGCACAAGACACUUCCCCUGGUCUGAUGCAGGACAACACAGCACCACUGAAAGGGACUUUUACAGUUACACUGGAUAUAUGGCAGCAGAGGACACCACCACUGUGACUGGUCACUGGACUGAUGCUGCACAAGAGAGACACUACCCCUGGUCUGAUGCAAGACAACACAGCAAAAAUGCAAGGGACUUAUACAGCAGCCAGCAGCACUGGGGACAUAUAGCAGCAGAGGACACCAACACUGUGACUGGCUGGACUGAUGCAGCAUAAGACACUGACUACAAUGGACUGGACUGAGCAGCACAACACAGCACAAGACUCACCACCCCACUUUCCAGCCCACAUAGACACUGAGGACACGUACUCUCAAUACACUCUCCGAGACUAGAGUGAAAAUGGCUGCGACGCGCUGAUCCUUAUGUGGUAUCCAAAUCCUGCAAAAAUCCGACAGAGGGAUGAUGACGUUUUGCCUCGUUCGGGUUUCCGAUUCAGGCGGGAAAACCCGAGCCUGGCUCGGAACCGGACUCGAAUGGUGAAGUUUGGUACGGUUCGGUUCUCUGAGAACCGAACACAAUCAUCUCUAGUUAUGUGUACUGUACAGAGAGGAUGCAAUUAGAUGGGGAAGCAUUGAAGGUUAUGUGGGUGGGUCUGGAAUUUUAUAGGCUUGUCUGAAGGGUUGAGUUUUCCAAUUGUGUACCAAUGGCUUGGGUUCGCGUGACCAGUGGUCAGGAUUCCAGCAGUCAAGUGACUGACAGCGGCAUCCUGAUUUCAGAAAUCCCAUCAGGGCAAGGUACAGUAUCCAAACCCUCCUCCACUACCCCCUAACCCUCCAUUCAUACUCUGAUUACGGCCUCUGCAUGCCGGGGUCCUGACAGCUGGUAUUUUAAAUGCAGGUACAGUACGUCCCCUACCAAUGGACGGUCAUUCUACACUCCUAUAAGAAUGUCUCUCUGCCUCCUGUACUCUACUUCCUGUAGCACUGUACUACUGUAAAGUUCUGUACGAUACUGUAGUACUGUAAAUAAUUAUGUAAAAAUUGCCUUGUCUUUCUUUGUUUAUAAUUUUUUUUUAUAUUCCACAUAGAAAUUGUCAUGGAGGCAGAGGAGGUGGAGGCAGAGGAGGAGGAGGAGACCUCACCCCAGCCCAAUAUUGGUUACGAGGAGCCCCAGUGUAUAAUUAUCAUUGACAGCAGUGAGGAGGAGGAGAAACCUUCUCCCCAACUUGACCCUACACUGUCACAGGCCAUGGAGGAGGAGGAAUAGCAGCCUCCGGCCGCCACCACACCACUCCCAGCAAGCCCUACACUGGAACAGGCCGCAGAGGAGGAGGAGGAGGAGGAGGAGGAUGAUGAUGAGGCAAUAGUUAGUG